AGUGAACGCUGGCGGUAGGCCUAAUACAUGCAAGUAGAACGGCAGCACAUUAAGAGCUUGCUCUUAGGGGUGGCGAGUGACGGACGGGUGAGGAAUACAUAGGAAUCUACUUUUUCGUGGGGGAUAACGUGGGGCAACUGACGCUAAUACCGAAUACGACCUACGGGUGAAAGCAGGUGAUCUUCGGACCUUGCGCGAUCGAAUGAGCCGAUGUCGGAUUAGCUAGUUGGCGGGGUAAAGGCCAACCAAGGCGACGAUCCGUAGCUGGUCUGAGAGGAUGAUCAGCCACACUGGAACUGAGACACGGUCCAGACUCCUACGGGAGGAAGCAGUGGGGAAUAUUGGACAAGGGGCGCAAGCCUGCUCCAGCCAUACCGCGUGGGUGAAGAAGGCCUUCGGGUUUUAAGGCCCUUUUGUUGGGAAAGAAAAGCAGCAGGUUAAUACCCCGCUGUUCUGACGGUACCCAAAGAAUAAGCACCGGCUAACUUCGUG
rnacentral:rRNA from 1 species